GUAGGUGAACCUGCGGAAGGAUCAUUAACGAAUUUUGGGGAGGACGAUGGGGGCCGCAAGGUUUUCUGAAUCCUUUCUAUUUCACCCAUGCUUGUUGCUCCUUGAGCACGCAUGUUUUUCCUUCGUACUAUUUCUGUCUGAAUUUAUAAACAACAUUUUGUCGCAAGGCAAUUGUUGAAGCAAAAAAAAUAAAAAUAAAAAAACUAUGAACAACGGAUCUCUUGGCUCUU
rnacentral:misc_RNA from 1 species